GGGCGAGUGGCGGAACUUGGUAUACGCGCAUGAUUUAGGAUCAUGUGCCGCAAGGCUUGUGGGUUCAAAUCCCACCUCGCCCACCC
rnacentral:tRNA from 6 species